rnacentral:rRNA from 1 species
CCUACGGGUGGCAGCAGUGGGGAAUAUUGCACAAUGGGCGAAAGCCUGAUGCAGCAACGCCGCGUGAGGGAAGACGGUUUUCGGAUUGUAAACUUCUGUUCUUAGUGAAGAAUGAUGACUGUAACUAAGAGGCAAGCCACGGCUAACUACGUGACAGCAGCCGCGGUAAUACGGAGGUGGCCAGCGUUGUCCGGAAUUACUGGGUGUAAAGGGAGCGUAGGCGGGAAGCCAAGUCAGCUGUGAAAACUACGGGCUUAACAUGUGGACUGCAGUUGAAACUGGCUUGCUUGAGUGAGGUAGAGGUUGGCGGAAUUCCGGGUGUAGCGGUGAAAUGCGUAGAUAUUUGGAGGAACAUCGGUGGCGAAGGCGGCCAACUGGGAUUUAACUGACGCUGAGGCUCGAAAGUGUGGGGAGCAAACAGGAUUAGAUACCCUUGUAGUC